CCUACGGGAGGCAGCAGUGGGGAAUCUUGCGCAAUGGGCGAAAGCCUGACGCAGCAACGCCGCGUGCGGGAAGAAGGCUUUCGGGCUGUAAACCGCUUUCAGCAGGAACGAAAAUGACGGUACCUGCAGAAGAAGGAGCGGCCAACUAUGUGCCAGCAGCCGCGGUGAUACAUAGGCUUCAAGCGUUGUCCGGAUUUAUUGGGCGUAAAGAGUUCGUAGGCGGUCGAGUAAGUCGGGUGUGAAAAUUCUGGGCUCAACCCAGAGACGCCACCCGAUACUGCUUGACUUGAGUUCGAUAGGGGAGUGGGGAAUUCCUAGUGUAGCGGUGAAAUGCGCAGAUAUUAGGAGGAACACCGGUGGCGAAAGGCGCCACUCUGGAUCGAUACUGACGCUGAGGAACGAAAGCAUGGGUAGCAAACAGGAUUAGAUACCCUGGUAGUCCAUGCCGUAAAACGGUGGGCACUAGGUGUGGGUUUCUAUUAACGAAUUCCGCGCCGUCGCUAACGCAUUAAGUGCCCCGCCUGGGAGGUACGGUCGCGAAGAACGUAAAACGUUAAAAGGUAAAGUUAGUAACGGCGUGAGACGUGCCGAAGGACGACGACGAGGGAGGAGG
rnacentral:rRNA from 1 species